GACGAACGCUGGCGGCGUGCCUAAUACAUGCAAGUAGAACGCACAGUUUAUACCGUAGCUUGCUACACCACAGACUGUGAGUUGCGAACGGGUGAGUAACGCGUAGGUAACCUGCCUGGUAGCGGGGGAUAACUAUUGGAAACGAUAGCUAAUACCGCAUAAUAUUAAUUAUUGCAUGAUAAUUAAUUGAAAGGUGCAAUUGCACCACUACCAGAUGGACCUGCGUUGUAUUAGCUAGUAGGUGAGGUAACGGCUCACCUAGGCGACGAUACAUAGCCGACCUGGGAGGGUGAUCGGCCACACUGGGACUGGGACACGGCCCAGACUCCUACGGGAGGCAGCAGUAGGGAAUCUUCGGCAAUGGACGAAAGGCUGACCGAGCAACGCCGCGUGAGGGAAGAAGGUUUUCGGAUCGGAAAGAUCUGUUGUAAGAGAAGAACGGGUGUGAGAGUGGAAAGUUCACACUGUGACGGUAUCUUACCAGAAAGAGACGGCUAACUACGUG
rnacentral:rRNA from 1 species